AUUGAACGCUGGCGGCAGGCCUAACACAUGCAAGUCGAGCGAGCGGCGGACGGUUGAGUAAUGUCUGGGAAACUGCCUGAUGGAGGGGGAUAACUACUGGAAACGGUAGCUAAUACCGCAUACCAUCAGAUGUUCCCAGAUGGGAUUAGCUAGUAGGUGGGGUAACGGCUCACCUAGGCCACGAGCCCUAGCUGGUCUGAGAGGAUGACCAGCCAGCCUGGAACUGAGACACGGUCCAGAUGCCUACGGGAGGCAGCAGUGGGGAAUAUUGCACAAGGGGCGCAAGCCUGAUGCAGCCAUGCCGCGUGUGUGAAGAAGGCCUUCGGGUGGUAAAGCACUUUCAGCGGGGAGGCGUUACCCGCAGAAGAAGCACCGGCUAACUCCGUGCCAGCCGCCGCGGUAAUAC
rnacentral:rRNA from 1 species